rnacentral:rRNA from 1 species
CAGCAGCCGCGGGAAUACGAAGGGUGCAAGCGUUAAUCGGAAUUACUGGGCGUAAAGCGUGCGUAGGUGGUGGUUUAAGUCAGUUGUGAAAUCCCUGGGCUCAACCUGGGAAUUGCAGUGGUUACUGGGUCACUAGAGUAUGGUAGAGGAUAGUGGAAUUUCGCGUGUAGCAGUGAAAUGCGUAGAGAUGUGGAGGAAUACCGGUGGCGAAGGCGGCCCCCUGGACAAAUACUGACGCUCAGGUGCGAAAGCGUGGGGAGCAAACAGGAUUAGAUACCCCGGUAGUCCCUGUCUCUUAUAC